ACCGCAACAACUGACAAAAACACACCAACUAUGAGAGUGCCCACAAGAACUGCUAAUUCUGUCCCCCGGAUUUAAUCACCCGGCUCUCAUAUUAUAC
rnacentral:tRNA from 1 species